GUUUAGUGCAGCUACCUUACCGUUUAGGCUCUGUACCUUUUUUACGGUCUUUGGCAGGACUAACUCCAUUAUGACCUGUAUCUUAUCCAGGUUGACCUCAAUACCCCUUUGGGAUACCAUGAACCCCAGGAAUUUUCCUGCCAUCACCCCAAACGCACACUUGCUUGGGUUUAGUUUCAUGUUAUAAGAUCGGAGGGUGUCAAAGGUCUCUUAGAGGUCAUUCUAGUGGUCGUCCUCUCAUAUACUCUUUACCAACAUGUUGUCCACAUAAACUUGCACAUUCCUCCCAAUCUGAUGUGCAAACAUUUUGUUCAUCAGCCUUUGAUAUGUAGCGCUUGCGUUCUUGAGCCUAAACAGCAUCACUUUGUAACAGAAGAAGCCUUAGCUGGUGACAAAUGAAGUCUUCUCUUGGUUGGCCUUGUCCAGCUUGAUCUGGUUGUAACCAGAGAACGUGCCCAUGAACUUAGUAGCUAGUGUCUUGCUAUUGAGUCCACCAAGAUGUCAAUCCUCAAGAAAGGAUAGCUGUCCUUGGGGCAAGCCUUGUUUAGGUCUGUGAAGUCCACACACAUCCUCAAUUUUCCAUUGGCUUUCUUAACCAUCACCACGUUGGCCAACCAAUCAGGGUAGUACACUUCUCGUAUGAAGUUUGCUUCCUGUAAUUUGCGAACCUCUUUUGCUAUGGCCUUGUCGCACUCCUGCGCGUUCACAUGUUUUUUCUGGCAUAUGGGAGAAAAAGAGGGAGACACAUUUAACCUGUGGACUAUGAUAGAUGGAUUAAUUCCAAGCAUGUCCUCAUGGCUUCCGGCGAACACGUCCUAGUUUUCCCUUAGAAAUGUCAUCAAUGCUUGCCUGUCUGGUAGGCUAGCCAGAGUGCUAAUUCUGGUAAUCCGUUUAGGCUUAAAGUCAUCAAGGAGAACUUCUUCCAAUCCUUCCACUGGUUCUGCCACCGUCUACUAUUCCUCUAUAUACAUAGUCUGCAAAUGAUCGUCCAUUUCCAACAUAGCAAUGUAGCAUUCACGUGCCGCUACUUGAUCUCCUCGUACCUCUCCUACUCUAUACUCUGUUGGGAACUUGAUCAUCAAAUGGUAAGUUGAAGUUAUGGCCUUCCAUGAAUUCAAAGUAGAACAACCUAAUAUGACAUUGUAAGCGGAUAAACAGUCUACAACCAGGAACGUGAUAUCCCUGGUAAUCUGCUGUAGGUAAUCUCCGACUAUUACGGACAAAGUAACUACUCCUAGGGGGUGUGCCCUUGUUCCUUCGAAUCCGACAAGUGGCGCGUUAACAAGAAUCAGUCAUUCCCUAUUAAUCCUCAUCUGCUGGAAUGCUAGGUAGUAGAGGAUGUCAGCAAAGCUCCCAUUAUCUGCUCCCUAACCACGAGUGCAUCGUCGUGUGAGUGGUGGAGACGCCUUGCAUCUUCCUCUAUAAACCUAAUGACAGGGUUGUCAAUCCGUGCCAUCUUCGGGACGAAUCCCAUCAACUGGACAUUUUGAACCAUCCGUAGGUAGGUUUUACGUGCCUUCUUGGACAAGCCAAAUGUUAUGGUUCCCUCUACGAUCAUCCUUAUGUCUCCUAGUGGGGGUUUGGGAUGCUCAUUUUCUCUCCGGGUAGGUGGUUCUUGGGGCUGGUCCGUCCUUUCCUUACGGAUGAAUCUUUGCAACUUCCCUUGCCUAAUAAAAGCUUCUAUCUACUGCUUUAAGUCAUAGCAAUCAGAUGUGUCAUGACCGUGGUCACGGUGGAAACGACAGUACUUGUCUUUGGACCUCUUGCUAGGGUCUCCCUUCAACUUGCCAAGGAAUGUUAGAACUCCUUCGUCCUUGAUUUGCAUAAGGACUUGAUUAAUUGGAGUGUUUAGUAGGGUGAAGCUUGCGAACCUUCUGGUAGGAGGCUUAGAGCACCUAUCUUCCCUCCUAUCUCCUGUCCUUGCUAUCUUUUGCCCCCUGUCCUAUUAUGAUUCCUCCUGUCUUUCUCUCUUUUUAGGCUUCUUUUUGCGAGCCAACAGUGCGUCCUCUGCGUUCAUGUACUUAGUAGCCUUGUAAAGUGCAUCCAACAUAGUCUUUAGGUCAUUUUUGUAUAAGAAAAAUAGAAACUUACCCUUCCGUAGCCCAUUCGUAAAUGCGGUCACAAGUAUCUUGUCAUUAGCUUCAUCGAUUGAGAGUGCCUCCUUGUUAAAGUGGGCUCUAUACGACCUCAUCAUCUCAUCCCCCCGUUACUUAAUGCUCAUUAGGCAUGUAGUGGAUUUCUUAUACUUGUGCCCCCUGAUAACCUGUGAGGCAAACUGGGCGCUCAACUCCUUAAAGGUACCAAUGGAGUUGGGUGUCAACCUGCUAAACCAAACCCUUGCGAGGCCCUUCAGCGCAGUGGGGAAGGCCCUGCACAUGAUCUCGUCUACCACUCUUUGCAGGUGCAUUAGUGUCUUGAAAGACUCCAGGUGAUCCAGUAGAUCCUUAGAUUCGUUGUAGCUCUCCACCUGAGGCAUACGGAACUUCGAUGGAAGGGGGAAUGAAGUGACAGAUGCGGUGAAUGGUGAAUCAGUUCAAUGGACCAAGUCAUCGAGGUCGCUAGAUACUCGUCCUUUGAGGGCGUUCAUCAUGAAGUCCAUCCGUUCCUUCAUCAUUUGCAUCUCCGCGACUAUAUGAUAUGGAACUGCAUUUACGAUGGAUGGACGGCUCGUGUCUUAUCGCUCUGGUCUACUUGCGUCAUUGCUACCUUCUGACCCCUCUUGGUCCCUUCUUUCAGCACUAGUGCCUUCUUGAUCCUCCUCCUAAGUAUUAAGCCCUGCAUUCUUCUGGCACAGUUGCUCUUUUAGAUCAUGGUUUUGCUUGGUGAGGCAUUCUACGGCAGUGGCAAGAGUCUAAACCUGUCUCUCAAGUGUGGCGGUGCGUGGUUCAUCUCCUUGAACAUUGUUGGUGGUCGCCAUUGAACGAGUAAGCAUCAUGCAACUCUUUGUCUGGGAAGCGAUUGUAUGGCUUGCAAGUUGUGCUUGUUCUUCCCUACAUAUGGUGCCAAUUGAUGAUGCCAAAAAUUGUCAGUAAGUCACACAAUCCUCACAUGCUCAAGACAACACCUACACAACAUAGAACAAGAAGACCUUAGGAGAGUACCAGUAUGGUAUCAGCCAAAGACCCUCCAAAGGUUAAGUUAGAAAGCUUCUCACAACCCUAGCGUGCCAGAGUUGGGGUGAAUUAUGCGUACCUUGAUUUCUGAAAGCUUUGGGUUUUUAUAGUAGUGUAGUAGAAUCGACUUUUGUUUCUUGGUGAAGAAGGCGUUUCCUUGUGGGGAAGAUCCUCAUAAAGCGUGCGUAUAUUACGAGAUUCUUUCCAUGUUAGGAUUACCUCAACUAGGGUUAGUUAUAAGGCGCAAGACAUUUUCAUGUAGGGUUUACCCACGUUGAGUGAGUGCCAUGUAGCCUCGAUGUUCAUCGACCUUGGGCCCAAGAACUCAGAAUCCGUCCAUAUAGAGGGACAAUCCGUCUACUAUGGAAAGGGGUCCAUUCGUCAUUUGACCUAUCUGUCCAUCGUCCCAUUUGCUACCUUAUCCCUGAAAGCUAACGAAUUCAGUACCGUCAGGUGUAUUAAAACGGAUCCGUCAUCCUUGACUUUUAUCCAGUUCAUGAAGAUUUAGGGGUUUUGACUUUUUAAUGUGAAAUAAAUGGAGAAUAUAAUUUUUAUUGAUUAUUUGGAGCUAGUUAAGAUUCUAAUUGUUGUCUUGGAGAAUAUUAUGAUUUUGGUGUCAUGGGUCUCUUGAUGAUAUUAUAUAAAUCUUGUCGGAACUACUCAUAAAGUGUUGAGGUUUUGAUGUUAGAGAUAAUACCUUGAAUGAUUUAUGAGUAUAAUGGGAGUCUAUGCCUUGUAAAUUAAUUUGUUGAGAAACUUUGGAAGUGGAAUACAUUAUUUGUGAGGUUAAAUACUAGGCUUGCCUAAUUAAUUGCUUAGUUAGAAAUCUCUAAUUUAUAGCUAGAUGCAAUGUCAAGCUUUAUGCUUAUUGUGAUAGGUUUGCUUGGUAUUGUUUAGGUUCUAGCUAAUCUUAUUUGGAGCUUGGAAAAUUAUGCUUUUGCGGGUUGCAAAGCAACGAUUAUUUUGAGAGAGGUUUUUGUGGCUAGCAGUAGUUAGAAUAACUACAGAUGGAGGCUAAACUUUUGUGAUGGUGAUAUUUAGAUGAUGUACAUCCUAGAGUACGCUUGACUCAUUCUUUUGUAUCCAAUAGUAGUGGUAAUGACUUUAUUCCCAUUGAUGGGACAAGCUGAUGAUAUAUAAAUAUAUUUAUUCAAACCUUCUUUCUUUUGUGACCAAUGGUCCUUGUAAUUAUUGUAUAGAGCUCUGACUUACUUUGGGAGUAUCUUUAAUGAAAUUAUUUUGAAAGCUCA